rnacentral:rRNA from 1 species
AUGCGAGAUUUUCGUAAUUGUUUGGGAGAUUGUGGAUUAGCAGAUAUGGGGUGUAUGGGUGACUUAUUUACAUGGAGGAGGGGCGAAAUCAGGGAAAGACUGGAUCGAGCGGUCUGUAAUGUGGAUUGGGCGAAUAAAUUCCCUCGAGCGGCGAUUAUAAACGAAGAGCAUGUACACUCAGACCAUCGCCCUAUUAUUUUAGACACGGAGUAUUUUGAUGAUAAUAUUUUUGACAGCUCAAAAACUCGAAGGAUACAAUUUGAAGCUUGA